rnacentral:rRNA from 1 species
AUAACCCCUGGGAAACUGGGGCUAAUACCGGAUAGAGCAUCGAUCGCUGGAAUGCAUGAUGCUCGAAAACUACGGUGCCCAAGGAUAGGUCUGCGGCUGAUUAGGUUGUUGUUGAUGUAAUGGACCAACAAGCCUACGAUCGGUACGGGUUGUGAGAGCAAUAGCCCGGAGAUGGGUUCUGAGAAAAGAACCCAGGUCCUACGGGACGCAUCAGGCGCGAAAACUUUACAAUGUGCGAAAGCACGAUAAGGGAACUCUGAGUGCCCCCUAAGGGGGCUGUUCUAGUGUCUAAAAAGCAACAGAAGUAAGGGCUGGGCAAGACCGGUGCCAGCCGCCGCGGUAACACCGGCAGCCCAAGUGGUAGCCACGUUUAUUGGGUCUAAAGCGUUCGUAGCCGGCUUGGUAAGUUCCUUGGUAAAUUUAGCCGCUUAACGGUUAAGCUUUCAGGGAAUACUGCUUGGCUUGGGACUGGGAGAGGUCAGAGGUACUCCAGGGGUAGGGGUGAAAUCCAUUAAUCCUUGGGGGACCACCGGUAGCGAAGGCGUCUGACCAGACCAGCUCCGACGGUGAGGGACGAAGGCUAGGGGCGCGAACCGGAUUAGAUACCCGGGUAGUCCUAGCUGUAAACGAUGCGGGCUAGGUGUUGGCAUUACUGCGAGUGGUGCCAGUGCCGAAGGGAAGCCGUUAAGCUCGCCAUCUGGGGAGUACGGUCGCAAGGCUUAAACUUAAA